rnacentral:misc_RNA from 1 species
GCAACAGAUGUUGCACACAGAGCUGUUAGUUCAUUAGAAGGUGCAGGAGUCUUUGCUGUUGAGUUGUUUCUGACAGAGGAUGGUCAGAUUUUACUAAAUGAAGUAGCUCCGAGACCUCACAAUAGUGGGCAUCACACCAUUGAGGCUUGCUUCACUUCACAAUAUGAGCAGCAUUUGCGGGCUGUCGUUGGCCUUCCACUUGGUGAUCCAUCAAUGAAAACUCCUGCUGCAGUCAUGUAUAACAUAUUGGGGGAAGACGA